GUGUCAGCCGCCGCGGUAAUACAGAGGGUGCAAGCGUUGUUCGGAAUUAUUGGGCGUAAAGCGCGUGUAGGCGGCUUUGCAAGUCGGGUGUGAAAGCCCUCAGCUUAACUGAGGAAGUGCGCCCGAAACUGCCGAGCUUGAAUACCGGAGAGGAUGGCGGAAUUCCCCAAGUAGAGGUGAAAUUCGUAGAUAUGGGGAGGAACACCGGUGGCGAAGGCGGCCAUCUGGACGGCUAUUGACGCUGAGACGCGAAAGCGUGGGGAGCAAACAGGAUUAGAAACCCCUGUAGUCC
rnacentral:rRNA from 1 species